rnacentral:rRNA from 1 species
UACGUAGGGUCCGAGCGUUAAUCGGAAUUACUGGGCGUAAAGCGUGCGCAGGCGGUUUUGUAAGCCAGAUGUGAAAGCCCCGGGCUCAACCUGGGAACUGCAUUUGGGACUGCAAGGCUGGAGUACGGCAGAGGGAGGUGGAAUUCCACGUGUAGCAGUGAAAUGCGUAGAGAUGUGGAGGAACACCGAUGGCGAAGGGCAGCCUCCUGGGCUAGUACUGACGCUCAUGCACGAAAGCGUGGGGAGCAAACAGG